rnacentral:rRNA from 1 species
UACAGAGGUGGCAAGCGUUGUUCGGAAUUACUGGGCGUAAAGGGCGCGUAGGCGGCCUUCUAAGUCAGACGUGAAAUCCCCCGGCUUAACCUGGGAACUGCGUCUGAUACUGGAGGGCUUGAGUAUGGGAGAGGGAUGUAGAAUUCCAGGUGUAGCGGUGAAAUGCGUAGAUAUCGGAAGGAACAUCAGUGGCGAAAGCGGCUUCCUGGUCCAGCACCGACGUUCAGGCACGAAAGCGUGGGGAGCAAACAGG